rnacentral:rRNA from 1 species
UACAGAGGUCUCAAGCGUUGUUCGGAUUCAUUGGGCGUAAAGGGUGCGUAGGUGGCAUGGUAAGUCGGAUGUGAAAUCCCGGGGCUCAACCCCGGAACUGCAUUCGAUACUGCUGCGCUAGAGUACUGGAGAGGAGAUUGGAAUUUACGGUGUAGCAGUGAAAUGCGUAGAUAUCGUAAGGAAGACCAGUGGCGAAGGCGGAUCUCUGGACAGUUACUGACACUGAGGCACGAAAGCCAAGGGAGCAAACAGG